rnacentral:rRNA from 1 species
GGGGAAUUUUCCGCAAUGGGCGAAAGCCUGACGGAGCAAGACCGCGGGGGGGAGGAAGGUUCUUGGAUUGUCAACCCCUUCUCUACAGGGAAGAAGAAAGUGACGGUACCUGAGGAAGAAGCAUCGGCUAACUCCGUGCCAGCAGCCGCGGUAAUACGGAGGAUGCAAGCGUUAUCCGGAAUCAUUGGGCGUAAAGAGUCCGUAGGCGGCUAAUCAAGUCUGCUGUCAAAGACCGAAGCUCAACUUCGGAAAGGCCGGUGGAAACUGAUAAGCUGGAGUACAGUAGGGGUAGAGGGAAUUCCCAGUGUAGCGGUGAAAUGCGUAGAGAUUGGGAAGAACACCCAGUGGCGAAGGCGCUCUACCUGGGCUUGUACUGACNCUGAGGGACGAAAGCUAGGGGAGCGAAAGGGAUUAGAUACCCCUGUAGUC